GAUGAACGCUGGCGGCGUGCUUAACACAUGCAAGUCGAACGGAAAGGCCCCUUUGGGGCUACUCUAGUGGCGAACGGGUGAGUAACACGUGAGUAACCUUCCCUUGACUUCGGGAUAACUUCAGGAAACUGGGGCUAAUACCGGAUAGGAAUCCUUGCUUCAACGUGGGGGUUGUAAAGCUUCGGCGGUUUUGGAUGGACUCGCGGCUUAUCAGCUUGUUGGUGGGGUAGUGGCUUACCAAGGCGUUGACGGGUAGCCGGCCUGAGAGGGCGACCGGCCACAUUGGGACUGAGAGACGGCAGAGACGGGUACGGGAGGAAGCAGUGGGGAAGACUGCACAAUGGGCGGCGGCCUGAUGAAGAAGCGCCGCGGGCGGGAGGACGGUUUUAGGGUUGUAGAACGAUUUCAGCAGGGGCGAAGCUUGUGGUGACGGUACCUGCAGAAGAAGCACCGGCUAACUACGUG
rnacentral:rRNA from 1 species